ensembl:lncRNA
CUCUUUCUUUCUCGUUCUCUCUCUGUCACUCACUUCCCAUCUAUCUCAUAUUAUGACAAAAUAUGCAAAUACUGACUCAUGAGCUGGAAUACCCGACACAAUAAACUAGCCUGGAGAGCGAUGAUCGUCACCGGAUGACCAAACUAUUCCACAUAAACUGCUAUCAUUGUGGAAGUUCCUUCAUGUUUGAUGACACAUCAUAGUCCCAUUGUGAACAGUGACAACAUCCAAACACAUACAGUACGUGCAUUUAUACAAACGUGCAAUUGCUUGACAAGGAUAUGCGUUUUACAGGCUGAGUGGUGAAAGGUUCAACCGAAACGCUAGAACAAUGAGACGGAGGGACAGUGACACUGAGGUGGAACUGUGGGCCAACGCAAUACUCCCGUGUCGUUUCUGUCUAAUUACUUGCUUCCUCUUCAGCCAAGGCAAAUAAAGGGCUUUCCGUAUUGCCCAAGAUCUCCGCACUCCCUGACAACACACCCACAAACACAGCAGCAUCUCUAAGGAUGUACUCAUUGUAUGUUGUGAGUAAUAGUAGUCAAGUGGGAAGUUGAACACAAUGUAAAGAUGCAUGUACGCUUGUGCGGCACGAACCGAGCAAGUCUCCUGGGUGGUUGGUUGGCCUCUCCCAGAUUCCCAGGCCAAGGGAAUCCCAAUCCAGCUAAUCUCUUUGAAACUAACCAGGGAACGCUGUAUGUCAACACUUCACUCUCUGCCGCACACAAGAUGAGAUCCUUGAAUAAUGGCCCAGUUUUCAGCACUCCGUAAACAGGAGGGCUAAAUUUACUGAUUACACUUCCAGCGUGAGUUGAGAGGAAGGACUAGCUGCAGCCAACCAGAAAACCAGAGGAACUCUGAAUCUUCUAAAUGGGUGAGCAUAUGAGUAAGUGAGGAGAGAGUUGUUUUCAGCACACAGGAACACAUUUAGGGAAGUGUAAACAUUAGAGGACCAAAAACAGAAAAGACCCAUUAGAGGAGAGUGUAAAAGAGUAUGCUAGGGUUAAGGGACUUACAAUAAAUGAACCAAUAUGUAGCUCA